rnacentral:lncRNA from 1 species
GGAGGGAGGGUGAAGAAGAAAGCCGGAAGGAGGAAGGAGAAUCUCUGGCAGAAGACCCAAUUUCCCCUAAGCCGUUAAUACCUUAAAUUCUGUUUGAUGAGUGCUACAUUCAUUACAUCACGGCGGUUCCCCGACCCCCGUGCCCUUAAACAAUAAUGCAUUUUUACAAUUUAUUUUGCAGCUAUGAGAUCAGAGUGAUUAAGGUAGAGUCUGUAAGGGCAUGGAGGCUGCGAUGAAGGCUACCCAAGGAAUGAAGCCAGCAUAGUCUGCGGGGCAAAUGGUGGAGAUGGGACAGGGCAGUUUCAUCCAGCUCAAGAAGAGACAGAGAACAUGUGGACUUCUGCAACUAUGUAAAUAUGGUUGGAAGAAUAAGCAGCAGCGUUGGUGUAGGUUCCUGUUCUGUGGAAUACAUAGCAAACUGACAGAAGAAAGUGGAGGAGGCAUUGCUCAGGCAUCAUCUGCUAAAGGACAGAUAUUGUCUUAUUUACCAGCAGCCACUGAUUUGUGAAAGGUAUGUGUGAGAGACAUUGGUUGCACUGUUCUUCUUGCACUGUUCUGUAACAUGAGUUUUCUGGUUCGGCAGGUCCUGUUGCCCUUCUCUGCUCCGAAGAAACAUGUAGAUGCUAUAUUUGUUAUAAAGCUGUUGUCAGGGAUGGAGAGAUGGCUCAGGGGUUAAGAGCACUGACUGUUCUUCCAGAGGUUCUGAGUUCAAUUCCCAGCAACCACAUGGUGGCUCACAACCAUCUGUAAUGUGAUCUGGUGCCCUCUUCUGGCACGCACUGUAUACAUGAUAAAUAAAUAAAUAAAUCUUAAAAAAAAAUAAAGCUAU